UACGAAGGGUGCAAGCGUUGCUCGGAUUCAUUGGGCGUAAAGGGUAGGUAGGUGGUCUUAUUUGUCUGGGGUGAAAUCCCUGAGCUUAACUCAGGAAGUGCCUCGGAAACGGUAGGACUAGAGUACUAGAGAGGGUCGUGGAAUUCCCGGUGUAGCGGUGAAAUGCGUAGAGAUCGGGAGGAACACCAGAAGCGAAAGCGGCGGCCUGGAGAGUUACUGACACUCAACUACGAAAGCGUGGGGAGCAAACAGG
rnacentral:misc_RNA from 1 species